rnacentral:rRNA from 1 species
CAGUCGAACGGGGGCCAGCGGCGGAAGGGGAUGGUUUACCAGACCCCGAUGGUGCGGGCCUUAGUGGCGGACGGGUGAGUAACGCGUGGGGAACCUGCCCCGUACCGGGGGAUAACACCUGGAAACAGGUGCUAAUACCGCAUAACAGAAGGGGACGCAUGUUCCUUUCUUGAAAACUCCGGUGGUACGGGAUGGACCCGCGUCUGAUUAGCUGGUUGGCGGGGUAACGGCCCACCAAGGCGACGAUCAGUAGCCGGCCUGAGAGGGCGGACGGCCACAUUGGGACUGAGACACGGCCCAAACUCCUACGGGAGGCAGCAGUGGGGAAUAUUGCACAAUGGGGGAAACCCUGAUGCAGCGACGCCGCGUGAGUGAAGAAGUAAUUCGUUAUGUAAAGCUCUAUCAGCAGGGAAGAAAAUGACGGUACCUGAGUAAGAAGCCCCGGCUAACUACGUGCCAGCAGCCGCGGUAAUACGUAGGGGGCAAGCGUUAUCCGGAUUUACUGGGUGUAAAGGGAGCGUAGACGGCGCUGCAAGUCCGGAGUGAAAGCCCAUGGCUUAACCAUGGUACUGCUCUGGAAACUGUGGAGCUUGAGUGCGGGAGGGGCAGGCGGAAUUCCUAGUG